ACUCCUCCAGCUCCCCACCUCCCGCUCAAGCCGCCUGGUCUCCGUGCGCCCCGCCCGCCCCUAGCCUGGACCCCUUCUCCCCGACCCUACCAAUCCCCUAGGGUCCGGCUCGCCCUUCGGCCCCUGUUCCCAGGCCGGCCUCCAGACCUUGUCCUCAUCGGGCGAGCUCCAGGUGCAGAAACCGGGCGCCCAGAGACCCAGCGGGAACAGGCUUGGAACCAGGUCCGAGGUCUGGGCUUGGGCGGGCGCCUGUCGCCCUGACAGCGAGGGUUUGUUUGGGCCGAUUCUUAAUAGGAGGAUUAAUACUAUCAUUAUCGUUGUCCAGAUCCUGACCAUUUCUUUUGUAACUGGCCGAGCACCGGCUUGGGCUUGCAGGUGGGCGCCUGGCGCCGGACAGCGUUUUUGUUUGGGCUUCUUCCUUUUCCGCGCGGGUCCCCUCCGGCGCCUGCCUGGUCCCUCUCCGCGCUCUACCCCCAGGCACGCAGAGACUUGGGCUCCAGGCGGGGGCAGCACUCUCCCCCAGCCUCUGCUGGUGCACCAGAGCCCACUCCGGCACAGAGCAGCGCCCCUCCUAGACCGGCAGCCAGCAGAUCUCAGCCGACCCCCAUGCGACCCCCUUCCUCACG
rnacentral:lncRNA from 1 species